GCGAAGAAGGUUGCAAGGGCCGGGGGAGUGCGUCAGUGGAAGCGGUGUGCAGAAAUGAUUGGGCGUAAAGCGGUCGCCGGGGGUGCGUUGAGUCGGAUGUGAAAUCCCAAGGCGCAACAGUGGAGGGUCAUUGGAAACUGGGGGACUUGAGUACAGAAGAGGAAAGCGGAAGUCAACGUGUAGCGGUGAAAGGCGUAGAGAUGUGGAGGAACACCAGUGGCGAAGGCGGCUUUCUGGUCUGUAACUGACGCUGAGGCGCGAAAGCGUGGGGAGCAAACAGGAUUAGAUACCCGUGUAGUC
rnacentral:rRNA from 1 species